CUCUCCCUCUCUGUCUGAAUAUGUGUUUGUGUCUACCUGUCUGUCUUGUGUUUAGAGUUCCUGUGUGUCCUGUCCUGGCCCUACCUGCCUGGCACUUGGUCGAUCUCCGAGUCAGUGGUCAACAAGUGUCUGAGCUCUGCUCUAUGGUGCCUUGUGUGGUUUUCUCUAUCAGCCUGGUUUUGCUGCCCCCUCUGUUGCCAAAAUAUUCUGCCAGUUGUUUCCUGAAGCCUUCCCUAGCUGUUCCUGUUUAUUGUGUUCCUGUUGUGGUAUCUUUUGCACUUCACCACCCUCUUUUAUCAGUCUUUUGUCAAUAAACUCUUGUUAUAUCUC